UCACCUAGCCCAUGGCCAAGUCAGGGUCUCUGAAGAACCCCCACGAAAAGUGCCAACUGGAAGAGCCAACAUUUGGAUCUUACCAUUUGGAAGGCUUUCAACAGUCAAGAGAGCAUCACAGCCAGCAUCUGCCUCCAUCUCUCAUCCCUCCACAGCUAUUAUAUUGGAAAAUCCAUCAGCAGUUAGGUCACAUAGGAGAGUGAUCAGCAUAUCUUGGGAGCACAGUAGACACAGGUUAAGGAGAUCCCCUGCCUGCAGUGUCCCAAUCAAAUCAUAGGAACACUGUGAGACUCUGGGGUGAGCUUGCAUUUGCAGACAGGAACUGAAGGGCUGGAGAGGUUACACUCACCCAGGUGCAGUUGCCCAGCAUGUGAAAGAGGAGACAUUCUAAACCCUGCACUUAAAAAAUAAAUAAAUAAAUAAAGUUAC
rnacentral:lncRNA from 1 species